GACGAACGCUGGCGGCGUGCUUAACACAUGCAAGUCGAACGGAAAGGCCCUGCUUUUGUGGGGUGCUCGAGUGGCGAACGGGUGAGUAACACGUGAGUAACCUGCCCUUGACUUUGGGAUAACUUCAGGAAACUGGGGCUAAUACCGGAUAGGAUCUCCUGCUGCAUGGUGGGGGUUGGAAAGUUUCGGCGGUUGGGGAUGGACUCGCGGCUUAUCAGCUUGUUGGUGGGGUAGUGGCUUACCAAGGCUUUGACGGGUAGCCGGCCUGAGAGGGUGACCGGCCACAUUGGGACUGCGAUACGGCCCAGACUCCUACGGGAGGCAGCAGUGGGGAAUAUUGCACAAUGGGCGGAAGCCUGAUGCAGCAACGCCGCGUGCGGGAUGACGGCCUUCGGGUUGUAAACCGCUUUCGCCUGUGACGAAGCGUGAGUGACGGUAAUGGGUAAAGAAGCACCGGCUAACUACGUG
rnacentral:rRNA from 1 species